CCUACGGGGGGCUGCAGUGGGGAAUAUUGGACAGUGGGCGAAAGCCUGAUCCAGCCAUGCCGCGUGUGUGAAGAAGGCCUUCGGGUUGUAAAGCACUUUCAGUGGGGAAGAAAGCCUUGGGGCUAAUACCCUCGAGGAAGGACAUCACCCACAGAAGAAGCACCGGCUAACUCCGUGCCAGCAGCCGCGGUAAUACGGAGGGUGCGAGCGUUAAUCGGAAUUACUGGGCGUAAAGCGCGCGUAGGCGGUCUGAUAAGCCGGUUGUGAAAGCCCCGGGCUCAACCUGGGAACGGCAUCCGGAACUGUCAGGCUAGAGUGCAGGAGAGGAAGGUAGAAUUCCCGGUGUAGCGGUGAAAUGCGUAGAGAUCGGGAGGAAUACCAGUGGCGAAGGCGGCCUUCUGGACUGACACUGACGCUGAGGUGCGAAAGCGUGGGUAGCAAACAGGAUUAGAUACCCUGGUGUC
rnacentral:rRNA from 1 species